UGAGUACGAGAUGCUACGGCAUCGAAGCAGUCUAUGUCAUACUUCCAAGAAAAGCUUGCACUGUCAGAAACAGAUAAUGCCUGUACCAUAACCGACACAGGUGGGUAGGUAGAGUAUACUAAGGGGCGCGAGAUAACUCUCUCUAAGGAACUCGGCAAAAUGACUCCGUAACUUCGGGAGAAGGAGUGCCUUAUUUUUAAGGUUGCAAUAACAAGAUCCAAGCAACUGUUUACCAAAAACACAGGUCUCCGCUAAGUUGUAAGACGAUGUAUGGGGGCUGACGCCUGCCCAGUGCCAGAAGGUUAAAGAAGUCGGUUAGCAUUCGCGAAGCUGGUAACUGAAGCCCUGGUGAACGGCGGCCGUAACGAUAACGGUCCUAAGGUAGCGAAAUUCCUUGUCGGGUAAGUUCCGACCCGCACGAAAGGCGUAAUGAUUUGGAUACUGUCUCGGAGAGGGGCUCGGUGAAAUAGACUUGUCUGUGAAGAUGCGGACUACCUGCACCUGGACAGAAAGACCCUAUGAAGCUUUACUGUAACUUGAAAUUGAAAUUGGACUUUAUUUGCGCAGUAUAGGUGGGAGGCGUUGAAAAUAUUCUUGCGGGAAUAUUGGAGCCAUCAGUGAGAUACCACUCUUGUAAUGUUAGAUUUCUAACUUUAUAUCAUUAUCUGGUUAAAGAACAGUUUCAGGCGGGCAGUUUGACUGGGGCGGUCGCCUCCCAAAUGGUAACGGAGGCGCACAAAGGUUUCCUCUGAACGGGUAGAAAUCGUAUCUAGAGUGUAAAGGCAUAAGGAAGCUUGACUGUGAGACCUACAAGUCGAGCAGGGACGAAAGUCGGUCUUAGUGAUCUGACGGUGCUGAGUGGAAAGGCCGUCACUCAACGGAUAAAAGUUACUCUAGGAUAACAGGCUGAUCUCCCCCAAGAGUUCACAUCGACGGGGAGGUUUGGCACCUCGAUGUCGGCUCAUCGCAUCCUGGGGCGGUAGUACGUCCCAAGGGUUGGGCUGUUCGCCCAUGAAAGCGGUACGCGAGCUGGGUUCAGAACGUCGUGAGACAGUUCGGUCCAUAUCCGGUGUAGGCGUUAGAAUAUUGAGAGGAGCCUUCUUUAGUACGAGAGGACCGAGAAGGACAUACCUCUGGUGUACCAGUUAUCGUGCCAACGGUAAACGCUGGGUAGCUAUGUAUGGAGUGGAUAACCGCUGAAAGCAUCUAAGUGGGAAGCCCACCUCAAGAUAAG
rnacentral:rRNA from 1 species